ensembl:lncRNA
UAGCAUUCUAAUUUGACUCCAUCUGUUACUUGCUGUGUGAUAUAUAGUAAGUCACUAAAAUUAUCUGAACUUUAGUUUCCUCAUCAGUUAAAUGAGUAAAAGAGGCCCUAGCUUUUUUUUUCAUGGUAAAGACUGCUUUAUUGGUGACACUUAGUACAAGUCAAUAAAUAUUAAUCCUCAAAGAAGAGCUCAGUUAUUUAUCAGGUUAUUGGGCCAUAGAGAGCUGAAUGAAACUGAACCAAGUGAUUGCUGGAAUGAUUGAAGUCAAUGCUGCUUCUUGGGGAAAUGAAGCCAUAGCCAGCUGAUAUAUGGCACAUGCUGUUCUACCAACUGAAAGAAUCAUGGUGGCUCUAUACAGGAGGACAUCAGCUACCCCACUCUUUAGAUAAACUGGGAUUCCAUCAUCCCCCUGGAACAGCUUUUGUUUCUCUGGAAAUUUAUUUUUAAAAUGCCUGUGGGAAGCAGUGUUUAUGGUCCUCUGCCCAAUCUGACAAAGAGCCAGCAGAUUUUGCAGUGUCUUGGCUCAGUUGGCCCUACUUUUUGUGGUUGUUAAGAUCAAAUGACUUAGUUAAUUAAUUGUGAUUUUUCACAUACUAAACAAAUCCUAGGUGUUAUUAUCCCUGUGAAUGUUUGACAUUUAUGAAUGUUCUCCUGCAACGUUGACAGAGUAAAUUUUAGUAAAUGUCCUACCUUAGUCACCUCAUUGUUCUCAACUCCUGACACAUGGCUUACUUACUAAAUCUUUUCAGGACAAACAUAAAAAGGAGGAAAAAACAAAGGAAACACAGAAGUGGGGAAAAAAACUAAAUUGUAUAAUAAAUUAAUUUCAGAUCUUCAACAAUAAUGGAAAUUCUGCUAUCUAUAAUAAGUCUGCAGCAUGACAAGAAGGAUGAAGGGAAUGCCAGUUUGGAAAGGCUGACUUGGUGGGUAAGCAGCAGACAGUGGGAAGAGACAGAGUGUGACAGUAAUCCCUCUAUUUCUGGUUCAGAGGCUUCCAAAGAAACAGGACUUGAAAGCAGAGAAGAAAAACUGUCAGGAGCUUAGAGACAUCUUCGUGUCAUGCAUCAAAAAACAGCUUGAGGAGUCAGACACAUUCUGCUACUUGCUACCCGAAUGUUGUUGCAGAGGUUACUUCAAAAACUCAACUCCUCAGUUUCCUCCUCUGAUAAAGGCACUGAUAAUCCUCUCUUUUCAGAGGAAAGCUGAGGAUGAAGUUAUAUAUGGGAGAACACCUGGUAUACACUUAAUGCAUAUGACUUUUCUUUCUUUACUCUUUAAAGUGGAAAGACACUCAGGAAAGACAAACUAGUAGCUGCCGUUGGGUCUGUAAGCAGAUCUUACUUGCAAGAUAAGCUUCUGGCUGCUGGAUUUAGAGGAAGAAAGGCUGGAGAAAUUCUCACAGUGAAGUGACAGAAAUCCUAGGAUUUGAUUAUAUUUCUAGAUGUUCUUAUGAAUCUAAGAAGAUCCAAAUUGUGUUGAAAAAAAAAAAGCCUCCUACACUUGUCUUAAUUAAAAAAAAAAGUUUAAAAUGAGAUGCAAUGAGUUCAGCGUAUUUGUCAGAAUUCUCUAGAGGGAUAGAACUAAUGAAAUAUAUAUCUAUAUAUCUAUAUCUAUGUCUAUCUGUCUCUCUCUCUCUCUAUAUAUAUAUAUAUAUAUACCUAAUAAACUCCUCUUCAUAUAUAUAUAUAUAUAUAUAUAUGUAGUUAUUACCUAAUAAACUCCCCU